rnacentral:rRNA from 1 species
UGCCAGCCGCCGCGGUAAUACGGAGGGUCCAAGCGUUAUCCGGAAUCAUUGGGUUUAAAGGGUGCGCAGGCGGUUUAUUAAGUCAGUGGUGAAAUCUCGGGGCUCAACCCCGAAACUGCCAUUGAUACUGAUAAACUUGAGUUCAGUUGGAGUAGGCGGAAUGUGUAGUGUAGCGGUGAAAUGCUUAGAUAUUACACAGAACACCGAUAGCGAAGGCAGCUUACUAAACUGAUACUGACGCUGAGGCACGAAAGCGUGGGGAGCGAACAGGAUUAGAUA